rnacentral:rRNA from 1 species
AGCGAACGCUGGCGGCAGGCUUAACACAUGCAAGUCGAGCGCCCCGCAAGGGGAGCGGCAGACGGGAGAGUAACACGUGGGAACAUACCUUUUGGUUCGGAACAGCUGAGGGAAACUUCAGCUAAUACCGGAUAAGCCCUUACGGGGAAAGAUUUAUCGCCGAAAGAUUGGCCCGCGUCUGAUUAGCUAGUUGGUGAGGUAACGGCUCACCAAGGCGACGAUCAGUAGCUGGUCUGAGAGGAUGAUCAGCCUCACUGGGACUGAGACACGGCCCAGACUCCUACGGGAGGCAGCAGUGGGGAAUAUUGGACAAUGGGGGCAACCCUGAUCCAGCCAUGCCGCGUGAGUGAUGAAGGCCUUAGGGUUGUAAAGCUCUUUUGCCCGGGAAGAUAAUGACGGUACCGGGAGAAUAAGCCCCGGCUAACUUCGUG